rnacentral:rRNA from 1 species
CCUACGGGAGGCAGCAGUCGAGAAUCAUUCACAAUGGGGGAAACCCUGAUGGGGCGACGCCGCGUGGGGGAAUGAAGGUCUGCGGAUUGUAAACCCCUGUCAUGUGGGAGCAAAUUAAAAAGAUAGUACCACAAGAGGAAGAGACGGCUAACUCUGUGCCAGCAGCCGCGGUAAUACAGAGGUCUCAAGCGUUGUGCGGAAUCACUGGGCGUAAAGCGUGCGUAGGCUGUUUCGUAAGUCGUGUGUGAAAGGCGCGGGCUCAACCCGCGGACGGCACAUGAUACUGCGAGACUAGAGUGAUGGAGGGGGAACCGGAAUUCUCGGUGUAGCGGUGAAAUGCGUAGAUAUCGAGAGGAACACUCGUGGCGAAGGCGGGUUCCUGGACAUUAACUGACGCUGAGGCACGAAGGCCAGGGGAGCGAAAGGGAUUAGAUACCCCUGUAGUC